AGAAUGGUUAUGUGAGACUGGUGGACAUAUUGUGUAAGGAAAGGAUAUUAAUCUGAGUUGGGAUAUUUUAAUACAUACGAUUGUCCUGUUCUCUUUCUGUGUGCUGGAGAAUCCAGUUUAUCUUACACCCAGGUGACAUCUACCUGGGUGUUUUUCCUUGUCUUCAUUUUGUUGUGACAUCGAACAAAUUGUCUGAACCCACCCGUAGCUGUUUUCCUUCCUGUGUUCUGGAAAAGUGAAAAAUCUGAUACUGCUACACAAAUACUUUCAACAGCCAGCAGUUUUUCAGGAGAUUGUUGUGGGUCCACAGUUUUUCCUAUAACACUGGAGUGGUUUAUACCAAUAUACAAAGAAAGCAAAACCUGAGAUCGGUGUUCAACAACAAAUAGACAACUCAAAGCAAUAACUAAAAACAAAAUAUGAUUGCACUACAUACCUAUACACUCUUUAAAAAAAUAAAAGUAUAAUUUUUAA